rnacentral:rRNA from 1 species
AAAUGAAUAGACGGGGGCCCGCACAAGCGGAGGAACAUGUGGUUUAAUUCGAUGAUACGCGAGGAACCUUACCCGGGCUUGAAAUGUACAUGAAUUACGUUGAAAGAUGUAAGCCAGCAAUGGCAUGUAUGUAGGUGCUGCAUGGUUGUCGUCAGCUCGUGCCGUGAGGUGUCGGCUUAAGUGCCAUAACGAGCGCAACCCACAUUGUUAGUUACUAACAGGUCAAGCUGAGGACUCUAACAAGACUGCCGUCGUAAGAUGCGAGGAAGGUGUGGAUGACGUCAAAUCAGCACGGCCCUUACGUCCGGGGCGACACACGUGUUACAAUGGGUGGUACAAAGGGCAGCUACUUGGUGACAAGAUGCUAAUCUCCAAAGCCACUCCCAGUUCGGAUCGGAGUCUGCAACUCGACUCCGUGAAGCUGGAUUCGCUAGUAAUCGCGCAUCAGCCAUGGCGCGGUGAAUACGUUCCCGGGCCUUGUACACACCGCCCGU